GGCAGCAGUGAGGAAUAUUGGUCAAUGGCCGGAAGGCUGAACCAGCCAAGUCGCGUGAGGGAAUAAGGCCCUACGGGUCGUAAACCUCUUUUGUCAGGGAGCAAGGCCGCCCACGUGUGGACGGAAGGAGAGUACCUGGAGAAAAAGCAUCGGCUAACUCCGUGCCAGCAGCCGCGGUAAUACGGAGGAUGCGAGCGUUAUCCGGAUUUAUUGGGUUUAAAGGGUGCGUAGGCGGCCUGCCAAGUCAGCGGUAAAAUUGCGGGGCUCAACCCCGUACAGCCGUUGAAACUGCCGGGCUCGAGUGGGCGAGAAGUAUGCGGAAUGCGUGGUGUAGCGGUGAAAUGCAUAGAUAUCACGCAGAACCCCGAUUGCGAAGGCAGCAUACCGGCGCCCUACUGACGCUGAGGCACGAAAGUGCGGGGAUCAAACAGGAUUAGAUACCCUGGUAGUCCGCACAGUAAACGAUGAAUGCUAGCUGUCCGGGGGGAUUGACCCCUGG
rnacentral:rRNA from 1 species